rnacentral:lncRNA from 1 species
CUUAUGGGCUCCACAGCAGCAAGUGUUCCAUCCCUGCCAGGACCCCUACUUGCUGGAGUAAGUGAGCACACUGGCUCUCUUCCUAAGUCCCUUCUUUCCCCAAGACAAGCUUCUAUCCUCUAUUUCACAUUCCCCUUUCUUUCCUUGUCCAUUUGUUUCUCCUCCCUGUCAAUCGCUCACUCAAACCACGCCUCCCCCUCAUUCUGGCCCCUCCCCAGGCUCCCCGGCGCGGCGCGCUCAUCCUCCUCCCGGCCCAGCCCCUCAUCUUUGCACUUCCUCCUCCCCUCUCUGUCGCUUCCCUAUCCGGAAAGCCCAUUUCAGCCCUCCACAUCUCUGGGUGUUAGCCUCUUUUCCUCCUCUCAUCUCAGCCGUUCCUGGCCUCAGCCGUUUUCUGGCGCGUGCUCGGGGUUCUCACCAUCAGACGUUGGAAGUUCAAAGUUCCCAGGAGCCCACGGGCUUCGCCUGCUCCCAAGGGUAGGGACCCAGGGGGAGGGGCGCCCCCGCACCUGAGAAACACCAAGGCCUGAUUUCCCUGGGGCUCACCAGGAAAGGUGAUCCACCGGCCCUGCGCUGGAGACAAUUUACUGGGAGGCGAUCUGACAAGGCAGACACCGGACAAGAGGGACCCAGUACCCAUCAAUGGAAGGGUCCUCCUUGCCCAUGCUCUCUAUAUGAAAUAACUGAUUUUAUAAUUGUUUUUAUGAUUGUUAAACUAUAAUUGUUAUAAUUAAAGUGAUUAUUUGAGGAAUGCACUGAA